GCUACCUUGAAGACUCUUCAACGAUUCCUCACCUGGAUUCCAGUUGGCUACGUUUUCGAGACAAACAUCACGGAAUUGCUGUCUGAAAACUUCCUUUCGCUUGAAGUGUAUCGUGUCAUCGCUCUUCAAUGUCUCACGGAAAUUUCACAAAUUCAAGUUGAAACCAACGAUCCCAGCUACGACGAAAAGCUUGUCAAAAUGUUCUGCUCUACAAUGCGCCACAUUAGCCAAGUUCUAUCUUUGGACCUCGACCUGGCUGCUGUCUACAAAGAUGCUUCCGAUCAGGAUCAGAAACUCAUCAGUAGUCUGGCUCAAUUUCUUGUCGCGUUCAUCAAAGAGCACGUUCAUCUGAUUGAAGUAACUGAUGAGCCAUUAACUGAGGCUAAAAUUUUAAUGCGAGAAUCUCACGACUAUGCUAUUCAACUUCUUUUGAAAAUCACUUUGAUCGAAGAAAUGGAGGUUUUCAAAGUUUGCCUCGAUUGUUGGUGCUGGUUGACUGCUGAGCUCUACCGUAUAUGUCCAUUCAUUCAGCCAAGUACUCUUUACGGAAUGAUGAGUCAGGUUCGUGAGCAUCCACGUCGUCAACUCUACCGUGAAUACCUCUCGCAACUUCGUUCAACAAUGAUUUCUCGAAUGGCAAAGCCAGAAGAGGUGUUGAUUGUGGAAAAUGAUCAAGGAGAAGUUGUUCGUGAAAUGGUCAAAGAUACUGAUUCGAUUGCUUUGUACCGUAACAUGCGUGAAACGCUUGUCUAUUUGACUCAUCUUGACAACAAGGACACUGAAGUGAAGAUGACUGAAAAGUUGGCAUCACAAGUGAACGGAGGAGAGUUUUCGUGGAAGAAUUUGAAUCGUUUGUGCUGGGCUGUUGGUUCGAUUUCUGGAACGAUGGUUGAAGAAGACGAAAAGCGAUUCCUUGUUCUUGUUAUUCGUGAUUUACUCGGGCUCUGUGAACAGAAACGUGGAAAGGACAAUAAGGCAGUGAUUGCGUCAAACAUCAUGUAU
rnacentral:sRNA from 1 species